GGCGCUGCUGCCGGACGGCUGGAGCUGGGUCAGCCCGGCGCUGAUACAGGGCGUCGGCAUCGCCGCCCUGUACCUGAUGAUGCUGGUCAGCGCCU
rnacentral:tRNA from 1 species